CCCUUAGAUGUUCUGGGCCGCACGCGCGCUACACUGAUGCAUUCAACGAGUCCAAAACCUGGUCUGAUAGGGCUGGGUAAUCUUUUGAAUGUGCAUCGUGAUUGGGAUAGAUGAUUGCAAUUCUUCAUCUUCAACGAGGAAUGCCUAGUAAACGCAAGUCAUCAGCUUGCAUUGAUUACGUCCCUGCCCUUUGUACACACCGCCCGUCGCUCCUACCGAUUGAAUGUUCCGAUGAAUACCAUGGACUGAGAGUAUGAAUGGGUUCGCCUAUUUCUGCUUCUCGGGAAGUGGAGUAAAUCUUAACAUUUAGAGGAAGGAGAAGUCGUAACA
rnacentral:rRNA from 1 species